rnacentral:rRNA from 1 species
UGUGUCUGUAAGUGAAAGCGUGGGCUCAACCCCAUACACAUUAUAGAAACUGCAUGGCUAGAGGACGAGAGAGGUUAUUGGAAUUCCCAGUGUAGGAGUGAAAUCCGUAGAUAUUGGGAGGAACACCGAUGGCGUAGGCAGAUAACUGGCUCGUUCCUGACACUAAGGCACGAAAGCGUGGGUAGCAAACGGGAUUAGAUACCCCGGUAGUCCACGCCGUAAACUAUGGAAUGCUA